GGGUGGGACUUGUCAGUAUGGGAGGGCCCUUGUGGGGUUGCUUUCGGGUGUCUGGGGUGUUGCAAGGGUGUGAAGAGGGAUGUUUGGGGGGCUCUGGGGACCCCUAAUGAGGAGAAGGAGUUGAGCUGGGCAUACAUAAUGUGGUGAAUGGAGUGGGGUGGGAAGGACUCUGAAGGCUUGUGAGCUGCUGGAAGUACAGAGUUUGUUUUUUAGGAGACCUCAGGUUGUUGAGGGGUGGGUGUGUACGUUCCUCGUGGGCGCCAAAUGUGCUCUCUGCAAGGAAGGCCAACGGUGUCCUGGGCUGCAUGAGUCAAGGUGUCCCCAGCAGGACAAGGAGGGGACCCUUUCUGUCCUUUCUGCACCUGUGGGGUCACACCUGGAGCGCUGGGCCCAGCUCCCAGAGGUGGAUGUGGGACUGGGCACCAGCUUGGGGUGGCCCUGCUGGGACAGGGGGAGCUGAACGUUGGGCUUUGAGCUCCAUGUGGCAUGUGGUAUUUGUGAUAUUGAUAGCCCUGUGUCUGAGCAGGCUGUUGGUGCUGGAAGGCUCUGAACUUCCCUUUGGUGAUGACUACAAAGCCUGGGGGCUUCUUAGUGGCCUAAAGGCUCUUAAUGUCCACAAAUGACAUUUUAAAAGUUACGAUACUGUGCUUUCAGGUGAUUUUUUUGUUCACUGCUCAAUCUGGAGAGAUUUACUCUGAGCGUGGUGCUCGUUGCAGUGCAGGCCUGUGAUUUCAGGAAGCUGGACAGCACUGGUGUGAGUGGUGAAGGACAGAAGGGACACAGAGAGAUACUUACUGCAGUCUUAAAAUAUGAGAAAUUUGAUUGGAUUUCAGUUUUGCCUCUACAUAUGUGAGAAAAGGAGAAAAUCCACCUUGUGAUCCUGAAAAUUAGUAGUAACUGGCUUUCAUCCCCCUUUUAAACCAUUUCUAAAUUCCUUUUGCUGUUAGGUGAGGCUCAAAUCAACAUGGAGCUGCAGCUCUUUUCCAUGUUUCAUGUUUGAUUGAGAGAAUUUGAAUCUUUCUCACAUUCUGUCAUUCCACUUCUGGCUGCUUUUGACUCCCUCUGACUCUGACCCAGCUGAGGAAAGGGGUGUUUGGUGCAAUAGGUUGCUACCACAUAUCGAGCCAUCGUGUACAAAAACAACUUCUUAGCCUGCUUCGGGAGCCUCUUGGGUUAUGGUAACACCCACUAAAGCUUUCUGCAGUAAGGUCAGACCUUGACAAAACAGUUGCACGGUGUUAGGUUUGAACCUGACCUCUGUGCUGCCCUUAGAGAAAGGGGAAAUUCUGACCAGGGAGAGGGAACGAAUUCCUCGAGAGAGGAGCUGGUAGCGAGGUGUUCCCUGCUAGUGCUGUGCCAUUCUUAAAAGGAAACUGCUUUUCAUGGUUGGAUAAAAUCACUUCUUAAAGAACAGCAUUUUAAACGUAAUCCCCUCCCUCACCUACUUAGGGGUUUGCAUUUGCUCUCAGAGCCUUGCUUGCCAGCACAGCAGUUGAGGCAGGGGGUUACUAAUUGGAGUACAGGAAGUUUUGAUGUGUAAUUAAUCAAAAGACCUGAGGACGUUGUCAGAGUUCGGGACCUGAGUUCAAAGGCCUGCCACGUAAAGGCCGUUGCAGAUACUUUAGGCAGCGAGUCACACGCAGACAGAGAGGCCAGAGGAGGAAAGGGUAGAUCAGGCUUCAAGAGCAGGAUCAGGUCUCCCUGGUUAUGCUCGGUCUGGUAAGUUGUGACAGCAUUUUCUUCACAGAGAGGGUGGACAAGUGUUGGGAUGGGUUUAGUGAUGGGAUUUGGUGAUCUUAGAGAUCUUGGAGGUCUUUUCCAGCCCAUCUGAUGCCACAAUUCUGUGCAUUCCCUUACAGGUGGCGUGGCAAAACUGCUUGUGAGUAGUUAAAUAUUUGAGGUGUGUUAGUAACUUGUUGCCGUGGGCACAGAACACCUCCGGUGUGCGAGUAAUGAGGCUGUGGUGAAAAACAAAUAAAGGUGGUUGUGGUGCUGUGCCAGAGCAGGUGUGCUGGGGCAAUUGGAGAGGAGAGGAGAGUUGGGUGAGUCUGCGUGGCAGCUGUUGGUGAUGAGAAGACAGGUGAAGCAGCUGCAUUAAUUUAUUUGUAGGUUUUGCCUUCUCUUAUGGCUCUCACCUCUUUCAGCUGCAUCUAUGUUACACUUCAAAUAAAUCCCUGAAUUGCUGAAAAACUCUUUUUAAUGUUUGCACAGCAACUGCCCUACUCCCAUUUUGUGUUGUUGGGGAGCAGGGAGAUAGCUGUGCAAACGGAGCUCUGUGAGAAGCAGAUCGGUGAACGUGUCCCCAGGUGAUUUCCCCUGGGGUUGUGCUCACCUGCUCUCAGACAUCUGAAGGUUUGAGUCACUGCAUCACCUUACAAUCUCUCGGGGAUGUUUGUGGCCCUUCUGUUUCGUGCAUUCACCAGUUUUCACCAAACCAAAAGGCACGUAAGAUACAUGUCCCAUGUGCACCUACAGCUUGACUGUGUGUUCCUUAGACAUCAAAGGUAAAAACGCACGGAUUUAAAGCCAGAAAUAAACACAGCCUUUUGGGAUAAACACAGCCGUGGCAGGACGUUUUAGGGCUCUGCUCUCCUACUAAGGGGCACUGACUCGAUCUGGCUUUCGGUUUGGAAGUCUCCUGGUGGGGACUGAUACCCUGCUCUCUCCCAGGAGAGCACAGAGCCCCUCAGAGGGGUGUGCUGAUGCUUGGUGCGAGCCUUUAGCCCUGAAGCAAGUAGAUAAAUAGUUUUAAUUUGCUUUUUAAGGAAAUGACUUGUUAUGCUUUCUGUUUGUUCUCUGGGCAAGCGUUAGUUCCUUUACCAUGCUGGCAAAUGCCAGCCACCUUUGACAAAGGGGUUCUGGUCUAAAACUGCUAAGUUUUUUUAAGUUGUGUGGAAGUGAUGCCUGUGGAGCAGAACUGACACCCUCUUGGUGCAGCUCGUGGUGAGAACUCAGCUCCUGUGAGACAUCUGACAAGCUCUAUGGGCAAGGGAGAUGAUGAAGGGCUGAACUGGAGGGGACUUUGCUCUCUUACCUUCUUAGAUAGCAAAAGCACUUGACAGUGAGACAUGUUUUAAACCAUCUUGGAGCGUUGGCAGUGAUUCUUGAUACAGGGCUGCUUACAGCAACCCUCUAUCAAAAGUUAGACUUCACAGUGGUUUGUUUUGUCUAAUGCUUCAUUUAUGUUGUUUGCCUGAAGCAGAUUAAAUGUUUGUUUUUUUAUUUUCUUUAGAGUUUGUGGUAAUCACUGCCUGUCUGCUGAGUUGGAGCUGUUGGUUUACAGCACUUUAAAGACGGUGAUUAGGGCAGCAGAAAUACUUUGCAUAUCAUUUCAGAGGAGGUGAUCUGAGUGCCUUUGAGUGCCUCUAGCAACUGAUGUCUGGGUUAAGGAAAUGAGUUGUUUGUUUUCCUUGGGGCAAAAUACUCCUUCGGUUAGGUUCACCCAUUGCAGGCAGGUUUUACAUAUUGGUACCGAUAAGGGUCAUUAGUGAGUUAUCUAAACUGCUCAUUAUGGUUUAUCUUUCAGAGACGUGAGCUGUGUUAGUCCUCUAACAUCUUGUGCUGACUCCUCGUGGUAUGUCCGAAGGACAGAUCUCUUGUGUGAUGUGAAUGUACCAGGUAAAUCCCAGUAAUAAUAACUUUUUGUGGGAGAUGGUGACCUGCCAAAGAGUAAGAAGUCGAGAGAGAGCAACAUUUAUUCUAUAUUUAGCCAUAAUUACUUCUGUAAAAAGAGCCUGAUGGGCUAUAGCCAUUUUUUAAAAUCUAUUUCUGUGUUACGCUGGAAAAUCAGGCCUGAUCUGCAACGCUAAUGCAACUGGAGACUUACCGAGGCUGCAGAGUGUCCGUGGGAGUGAGCUGCUUUCCAUAAAUACUUGUAAGAAGUUUACUCAGCAUUUCUGGUACUGAGGUAAAGCAGAAGGAGGAAAAAUAGUGGAAGUUUUCAGACAGGUAGCUCCCUGGCAGAUCCCUGGCCUCACCUUUUUGUCUGAGAGAGGCAGCAGAGGGAUGCAGCUCUGAUCUUUGGGGCUGGUUUGUCUGUCUUCCGAGGCAGAGGUUGUACACAAGGUAUUGGUCAGCAGCAGUGGUGAAUAAACUCCAACCUUGAGAUGUUUCAGGCUUGUGUAUUGGCUGGUGAAUAUCCAAGGUGGAUUGUUAACCUA
rnacentral:lncRNA from 1 species